CAGCCGCCGCGGUAAUACGUAGGUGGCAAGCGUUGUCCGGAAUUAUUGGGCGUAAAGGGCUCGCAGGCGGUUUCUUAAGUCUGAUGUGAAAGCCCCCGGCUCAACCGGGGAGGGUCAUUGGAAACUGGGAAACUUGAGUGCAGAAGGGGAGAGUGGAAUUCCACGUGUAGCAGUGAAAUGCGUAGAGAUGUGGAGGAACACCAGUGGCGAAGGCGACUCUCUGGUCUGUAACUGACGCUGAGGAGCGAAAGCGAGGGGAGCGAACAGGAUUAGAUACCCCCGUAGUCCCUGUCUCUUAUAC
rnacentral:rRNA from 1 species